CCUGGCGGCACUAGCGCGGUGGUCCCACCUGACCCCAUGCCGAACUCAGAAGUGAAACGCCGUAGCGCCGAUGGUAGUGUGGGGUCUCCCCAUGCGAGAAUGUUGAAUAGCAGUUUGGU
rnacentral:rRNA from 1 species